rnacentral:rRNA from 1 species
GACAGAGGUGCCAAGCGUUAGGCGGAAUCACUGGGCUUAAAGCGUGUGUAGGCGGGCGAUCAAGUACCUUGUGAAAUCCCUCGGCUUAACCGGGGAACUGCGUCUGAUACUGGAUGGCUUGAGGUUGGGAGAGGGAUGCGGAAUUCCAGGUGUAGCGGUGAAAUGCGUAGAUAUCUGGAGGAACACCGGUGGCGAAGGCGGCAUCCUGGACCAAUUCUGACGCUGAGGAGCGAAAGCGUGGGGAGCGAACAGG